GACGAACGCUGGCGGCGUGCUUAACACAUGCAAGUCGAACGGAAAGGCCCCUUUGGGGGUACUCGAGUGGCGAACGGGUGAGUAACACGUGAGUAACCUGCCCUUGACUUCGGGAUAACUUCAGGAAACUGGGGCUAAUACCGGAUAGGAAUCCUUGCUGCAUGGUGGGGGUUGGAAAGCUUCGGCGGUUUUGGAUGGACUCACGGCUUAUCAGCUUGUUGGUGGGGUAGUGGCUUACCAAGGCUUUGACGGGUAGCCGGCCUGAGAGGGCGACCGGCCACAUUGGGACUGAGAUACGGCACAGACUCCUACGGGAGGCAGAAGGGGGGAAUAUUGCACAAUGGGCGGAAGCCUGAUGCAGCAACGCCGCGUGCGGGAUGACGGCCUUCGGGUUGUAAACCGCUUUCAGCAGGGGCGAAGCUUGUGGUGACGGUACCUGCAGAAGAAGCACCGGCUAACUACGUG
rnacentral:rRNA from 1 species